UAGAGCAAAUUAAUUCCCGACACCUUCUGCUCAAUGUAACAAAUAUAAAUUGCCGCAGUAUCCUAACUGUGCCAAGGUAGCAUAAUCACUUGUCUAUUAAUUAUAGAAUAGUAUGAACGAAAAAAUGAGGUGAUAGCUGUGUCAUAAAGUAAAAUAUAAAUUUAUAUAAACGUGAAGAAGCCUUUAUUUCCAUAUAAGACAAGAAGACCCUGUAGAGCUUAAAUUAAUGCAUAUUAAUAUAAAUGCAAAAAUUUUGACUGGGGCGGUCCCUAUAAACAAAUCAAUUAUUUAAUACCUGACAAACAAGUCGACUCAAACACGAUCCAAAAAAAUGAUUACCGACCAAAGUUACCUCAGGGAUAACAGACUAAUUUCCUUUCAAAGUUCAUAUUAAAAAGGAAGAUUAGCACCUCGAUGUUGGCUUAUAAUAAAUUCUGAAGAAAAAGUCAAAACUACAGGUUUGUUCAACCUAUAAUUUAUU
rnacentral:rRNA from 1 species